rnacentral:miRNA from 1 species
CACCUGAUACCUCUUCACUGAACC